rnacentral:rRNA from 1 species
AACGAACGCUGGCGGCAGGCUUAACACAUGCAAGUCGAACGCCCCGCAAGGGGAGUGGCAGACGGGUGAGUAACGCGUGGGAAUCUACCUAGUUCUACGGAACAACUGAGGGAAACUUCAGCUAAUACCGUAUACGCCCUACGGGGGAAAGAUUUAUCGGAAUUAGAUGAGCCCGCGUAAGAUUAGCUAGUUGGUGGGGUAAUGGCCUACCAAGGCGACGAUCUUUAGCUGGUCUGAGAGGGUGAUCAGCCACACUGGGACUGAGACACGGCCCAGACUCCUACGGGAGGCAGCAGUGGGGAAUAUUGGACAAUGGGCGCAAGCCUGAUCCAGCCAUGCCGCGUGAGUGAUGAAGGCCUUAGGGUUGUAAAGCUCUUUCAGUGGGGAAGAUAAUGACGGUACCCACAGAAGAAGCCCCGGCUAACUUCGUGCCAGCCGCCGCCGUAAGAC